rnacentral:rRNA from 1 species
GUAAGGAAUAUUGGUCAAUGGACGAAAGUCUGAACCAGCCAUGCCGCGUGGAGGAUGAAGGUCCUCUGGAUUGUAAACUUCUUUUAUAUGGGACGAAAAUGGGGCUUUCUAGCUCAACUGACGGUACCAUAUGAAUAAGCACCGGCUAACUCCGUGCCAGCAGCCGCGGUAAUACGGAGGGUGCAAGCGUUAUCCGGAUUCACUGGGUUUAAAGGGUGCGUAGGUGGAUUGGUAAGUCAGAGGUGAAAUCUCCGGGCUCAACUCGGAAACUGCCUUUGAUACUAUCAAUCUUGAAUAUUGUGGAGGUUAGCGGAAUAUGUCAUGUAGCGGUGAAAUGCUUAGAUAUGACAUAGAACACCAAUUGCGAAGGCAGCUGGCUACACAUAUAUUGACACUGAGGCACGAAAGCGUGGGUAGCGAACAGGAUUAGAUACCCCUGUAGUCC